UAUCUAUGGUUUAAUCUGAGCAUCAGAAGACCUUUUAGUCUACCUGAUACAUGAUCUCUAUAGUUCUGAGA
rnacentral:snoRNA from 1 species